CCUACGGGAGGCAGCAGUGGGGAAUAUUGCACAAUGGGCGAAAGCCUGAUGCAGCGACGCCGCGUGAGGGAUGACGGCCUUCGGGUUGUAAACCUCUUUCAGCAGGGAAGAAGCGAGAGUGACGGUACCUGCAGAAGAAGCGCCGGCUAACUACGUGCCAGCAGCCGCGGUAAUACGUAGGGCGCAAGCGUUGUCCGGAAUUAUUGGGCGUAAAGAGCUCGUAGGCGGCUUGUUGCGUCGGUUGUGAAAGCCCGGGGCUUAACCCCGGGUCUGCAGUCGAUACGGGCAGGCUAGAGUGUGGUAGGGGAGAUCGGAAUUCCUGGUGUAGCGGUGAAAUGCGCAGAUAUCAGGAGGAACACCGGUGGCGAAGGCGGAUCUCUGGGCCAUUACUGACGCUGAGGAGCGAAAGCGUGGGGAGCGAACAGGAUUAGAUACCCUGGUAGUCCUCGCCGUAAACGUUGGGAACUAGGUGUUGGCGACAUUCCACGUCGUCGGUGCCGCAGCUACGCAUUAACGUUCCCCGCCGUGGGGNGGUACGGCCGCCGACGGACGUAAACGUUAAACGGUAAAGUUAAGUACGGCGUUGAGACGUUGCCGACGGCGACGACGAGGGAGGAGG
rnacentral:rRNA from 1 species